GCAGGACUUUCAGACGGCGGUGACUUUCACGAGCAUCUCCGAGUCUGUCUCAGAUAAUACACCUCGCCAGAGAGAGCGAGAGCAAGCAGCAUUUGAGAGGAACAAAUCCCGGCUUCACCCCACUACCCCGCAGCCCAAGUCGGCCCAUAGAGCACCGCCGUUCUCCAUUCCUCUGUGUACAUCCUCGAGCACCUCCGUGUCAAGAGGAGAAGGGUGCUUGUGCGUGGGAACGCGGACAUCAUGCAGUCCCUCCUUGGUUCAUUCGCGCCCUCCAUAUCCACCUUAAGCCCUCAGAAGGGCGGCAAUGUAGCCUCCAAGUAAGGACGGCGCCGGCCGAUCUGCUUCUCUUCAGAUAAUGUUCGUGGCGGCCGUCAAGUGACUAUGGCAAAGCUUCUGUAACGUUUUAAAGAUUAACAGUUCAUGUGGCAGAAGCUUUACAACUAUGCAUUCCUCACGCCACCGCAGGUGGAUUCCUCUUCAAGGUGCCACAGGUCUUCUUGACUGGCUUGUAGCAACAGCAGACUCAGACGGUGGCCUUUCUGAAAUUGGUGACACAAGGAAAGGUCCCCCCCGCCCGCCCGCCCCAUGGCAACAGAGCAGCUCCUGACUUCCUACACGAGGAGAACCCCGUUUCAAAGCACCGCCAAAGCCCAUCUCCGUCACUGCUCAAAGCCCUCCCUCCCUCCCUCCCUUCCCUACCAUCAGUUUCCCUUCUCCCUCCGCACAAAAGUAACACAUAUCUCGAGGGGGUAGCAGUAGUUCGUCCACCCUCAUUUAAGUAUUAAGGACUUUCAAGUCACUACAACCCUUUCAUUCAGGCCCGCUGCCUCGCGUCCUGAAGGGGGGAGAGUCUGGCCUCCUCUUGAAACAAAAGUAGAAAUAUCCUGACACUGGCCGCCGCCGCCGCCGCGGUUGUUGGGUUUCUCAGCCGGCUUCUGCCCACCACAGAGAAACGGAACAUUUUCUAAUACAGAGAACCUCGUAGGGUCUUCUUUAGGGAAAGGUACUCCUGUAACAUAAAGUAUAUGUGAAAAGAAGAUUUCCUGCUUCGAGAAAAGUACCGGUGUAAAGGACACAAGCGGCCUAUGAAACUCCUAGUCCUAGGCUAGCGAGCUCUGCCGGGAGGCUGGGUCCUGUGGUCUGUCUGCUCCUAGGGGCUGGUUCUCUCUCCGCGAUAAUGCUGCCUACGAGGACCAACAACAAUGGGCACUUUCGUUAUAGUGGCUAAGACCGGGCGAUAGACCUCUCCUCCUAGCAUUCCUGGAAGGUGGUGGAUAAUACCACAUCUCGUGACAGUCGGUUGCAUAGGUUCCUUUACUAAUUGACUGAAAAGGACUGGUUUUAGAAAUGGGAUGGGGAGGGGAUUCUAUUCUCGCUCUCCACGCCCUUCAUAAUCUUAUAAAUCUCUGCAGUGUUUCUUUUCUAGUCCAAACGCUUCUUUAGCCAUUCCUCCUCAGGAAAGUGCUGCUGCAUUCCUGCUUGCUUAUGCUCAGGCGAAGACCGUCUGAGUGGAGGCAGUAGGAGAGAUAAAGCAUAGUCUUAUCAUAUGAACGAGUACCCAGAAAUAAAUCUGACUCCGUUCAAUGGGACGUAUUCCCAAAUAAAGAGAUGAGUGCCCAUUUCACUUAAGUAACUGCUCCUGUGAACACGACCGGAGGCUCUCUGGGACAUUUUCUACUUCACAACAGGAUAUAUACAAGGAACAUUUACUUCUUGGCCUUAAGUGAGAAAUAGAAACACAUACAACAGAAAGCUUAAGGAGAGGAGAGCUGGUCUUAUGGUAGCAAGCAUGACUUGUCUCCUUAGCUAAGCAGGGUCUGCCCUGGUUGCAUAUGAAUGGGAGACUAGAAGUGCAAGCAUUGUAAGAUAUUCCCCUCAGAGGAUGGAGCCGCGCUCUGGGAAGAACAGAAGCUUCCAAGUUCCCUCCCUGGCAACUCCAAGAUAGGCCUGAGAGAGACCCCUGCCUGCAACCUUGGAGAAGCUGCUGCCAGUCUGCCUUUUCUUGCUGUGAGUCUCCUAGACUAGGCCUUCAAACUGUUAGGAAGACUGAGAAGCAUCUCCUUGGGGAAGUUGCAGAUCUUCAGGCAAUGUAAUUGAGGAGUUGCUCCUCAAGCUUUCCCUCUGUCUGCACCCCUGCUGUCCCACUGAGGAGGGCUCCGGCUGCUCACUAGGCUGCACAUUUAACAAAACAAGGAGCGUGGGGCGGGUGUGGGGGUCGUUUGUUCUUUCAGACUUUCUGCAUUGGCUGCAUUUGGAAACAAGGAGCUCCUCCUUCUUGAGUUCUGCCAGUCCGAGGAUGAUCAAAGAAGACCGUUGGUCCCGCGCACGCCUGAUCGCCAAGGAGUCCGAGCCUAGAAGUCCUGCUGCUGUCGCUUUCCUACCCUUUGUUUGGAUCUAGUUUGGUGGCCGGCGCAGAAAGUGCGCUCUUGCUCCACCAGUUUCGUUGGGACAGCGCGCUUGAUCGGGCUGGCGUGGUGACUCCUUGGAUCCGAGCCAAAGCUAAAAGGGCUCCACAGGGCUUGCUCCGUUCUAAUGGGGCGGAAAGUCCCCUCUUUCCCCAGCGCGCGCGCUUCUCAAACCGAGCAAGCGAGGCUGUACUAGCGUGUGGAGUCCUUGGGGACCUGGCUCGCCCUGGGAUUAAGAAGUGGAGGGACAGGCACCUCCUUGGCCUCCCCGAUGACCCCAGGGCUGUGGCUGUGAGACAUGCCGCUUUGCAGCCACCAACGAGGAUUGCAGCCAGGGAGAAGGUGGGAUCCACCCCAAAAGGCAACCUCAAACCCCACUCCAGUCCUAUCUGCCAAAGGCCACCCGUCACCUACUCGCGCCCCCGCAAAAAGAACCACACGCUCCACAACCUUAGCCACUUCUUCCGCUGUCCUGAGCGGCGUGUCCCCCAAAGUUCAGCACAGCUUUCUUCUCCCAGCCCGGCAGCCCCCUUCCAGGAACACCACACACUCCCAAGGAAAAUCCAAGAGCGAAGCAUCGGCAUUGCGGGAUUUCCUUAGACCCGGGGAAACCCAGGAUGGAGAAAAGCUGAGGAGGGAAAGCGGGCAUCAGUUGGUUUACUCUAUUUUAUUCACUUGGAGGGAAGAGUUUGAAGAGGCAUAUCGGCCCGAACUUUGCUUGCAGCUUCACAAAACUGUCAGCUCCUAAAAAAUAUUUGCUCCCCCUGUGGUUUUCCAAUCUACAUAACUCUGAGCAAACAGCAAGUGGGUACAUUUACGGUGAUACUACAUACAGUGCGCGACAGCGACGCGCAAGUUCGGCUAUGAUUAAGCCAACAUUAAGAGAAAGAAGAUAGCCUACUGUAUGGCCAGUUUAGGAGCCGACAGUUUAAGACAUUUUUCACUGCCAUCCUCUGGUCCUUGUCCUCGUCCCCACCCCCUCUUCAAGCACUGACAACAAACAGAAGACGACCUGUUUGGUCGCCUUUUUGAGUGCCAGGACAAAACGUUAAACAUGAUUAUAUGGCCGUGUAGAUCCAGUCCAACGUCCAGCGUUAAUAAGUCUUUAAAUACUGUUUGGCAAAUCAUUUAUGCAAGAAACAACUGUGGCUCCCCCCCCCCCCACAACUCAGUCACAGCAGCCCGUAGCAGCCUCUGCCUCAAAUAACUCUUUGAACUUUUAACGUGUUCAGUAGAAGGGUAUGAGGAUGUCCUUAAUUGAACAUGGAAAACAAAAGGAACAAUUUCACGGUGAGUGUACCUAACCUUAGAUAUGCCAAUCCGAUAUAAUUUGGUUUUUAUGUUUCAAAGCAAAUAACAUCUCAAGAUGUUUGAAUUGAUAUCUCAGAUAUAUUUAAAAACUUGAAAUAUAUUUUGUUUAGUAGGAAAUUCAUUCAAUCUAGACUUUAUUUCAAAUGUCACAGUGACAUUUUCCAAAUAUAUUGUUCUAUUUUAAUAUGUUUGAUUAAAAGAUAUUAUAUUAUUUCCAAUAAGAAGAAAAAUCCCAGGAUCUCAGAAUUACACUUGUAAUUUCAAAAUAAGUUAAACAUAAAGAUAUUGUCACCAGUUGUUUAUUACAGGGGGAAUAAUUUUUAAAAGUAAGAGAAAGAGAGAGAAGCAUUAGGACUCAAACAAAGAAAAGUAAAAGAUGCACUGAUAUUUCAUAUUUAAACACUAUUAAAGAAAACAAAUUUUCCUUACAGUGUAUGUAUAGAACAUAUUUGGUUCUAUAAAUUUAUUUGGUCUUCUGACCCAAAUUAAGUAGAUGUUCAAAACAAUUAAAUGGUAUAAAAAGAUAUACAAGCUUGAAACUGUUCACUUCUGUUUUUAAAGACUUCUAGCACAAAAUGAACUCAAGAAAGACUUCACUAAAGUUUUCUUGAAAACUUUACAGAAAUACCCAUCUAUGUUCAUUUAAUAUGACACAAGCCACAGACAUCUGCUACUUAUAAAUAUUCUACUACCAUAUUCUAACACUAAGAAGUCUCUGUGACUACACUUUUUGUGUGGAAACAAGUGAUAAAAUUUCACACUCUCCAAUAACUCAAAAGCAGUUUAUCUUUUGAUGUUUGCCGAAUUAUCAUGAAGUAAUUUAUUAUUUUAAUUACAAAAUUAAAUACUGCAGAUUAAAAUGCAGAAUAUAAGUUGUAAAGCACACACAACCCAGAUCUUGGAUGUUUUUAUGUUAACAAAUAAGGCAUAUUAUAUUAAGAACUGGAUGUCAACAAAAAUGGAUUUUAGAACCCUUAAAUGUGAAAGGUAAUUUUGACAAGAUGACAAUUCAAUUCAAGUGUAAUGAACAGAAAUAAAAUUAUUUAAAACUCACAACAAAACAAGAGCUUUCCAUAUGGCUCAUGGUGAAUGAAUUUGUUCACAUCAGGUAAACCUACAAAAUGACCAGCAUACAAUACUGUAUGGAAUUAUUAAACAACAUUUCUUAUCAACUUUGAGAAGU